rnacentral:rRNA from 1 species
GUCUGUGUGAGUCUAAAUACAAAGUCUGGCCUGCCCACUGAAUCAGUGUUUUAAAUGGCCGCGGUAAUUUGACCGUGCGAAGGUAGCAUAAUCAAUAGUCUUUUAAUUGAAGGCUGGAAUGAAUGGUCGGACAAAGAGUGCACUGUCUUUUAUAUAAAAAUUGAAUUUUACUUUUAAGUGAAAAGGCUUAAAUAGCUUGAAGGGACGAUAAGACCCUAUAAAACUUUACAAGGUGUGUUAUAUUUUCUGAAUUUCGGUUUAAAGGAGGGUAUAAGACUCUUUGUUUUGUUGGGGCGAUAAAGAUAUAAAAUUGAGUAACUGUUGUUCAUACAUAAUAAUUAUUUUUAGUUCAGUUGAUCCUUUAUUAGAGAUUAAAAGAUUAAGUUACUUUAGGGAUAACAGCGUAAUUUUCUCUGAGAGUUCUUAUCGACGAGAGUAGUUGCGACCUCGAUGUUGAAUUAAGAUUUCUUUUAGGUGUAGCAGCUUAAAGAGUAGGUCUGUUCGACCUUUAAAAUCUUACAUGAUUUGAGUUCAAACCGGUGUGAG